ensembl:lncRNA LINC01919 long intergenic non-protein coding RNA 1919
GGCUCUCAAGCAAGGUCCACUUGCAGUGAAAUAAACCAGAGGUUUGAAUCAUGGCUUGAUACGAAAUUAUUGGAAAGAAUAUGGCGAUGACAUCCACAAUGCCGGAUAAAGAAAAUAUUUAGAAGAUGAGAUUCCUGUGUUUCUGGCUUUCAUUUUACUGGUCAUUCCUGCCAUGAGAAGAUGAUAGAGAAUAUCACCACAGUGUGACUUGCUUCCAAGGCAGCAUGGUUUCAUGCAGAGGAUCUAAACUGGGGACCAUGUGCUGGGCUGCAAAAGGGCUGUGCAGUGCCUAAAAUGUUAUGCAAAAUUUUAUAAAGGUAGGUCAUGUAUUGCUCCAUUGAUGCUGCCCUUAUUCAUGAUGAUUAAAGCCUUUGGGAGGUAUUCCUUCAGAAUAAUGGACAACUUCGAUAAGUACUGGUAAGAAAAUAAGUAGAAACUCUAAAUUUGAAGUCUUCAUUCUCAUCUUACUAUCUUCUAUUAAAUAUUAUUUAUAAUAAAAGCUGUAGGCUAAUUCAGAAAUAAGACUCCCAUCAAAAUGCAUGUAAAUAUAUUAAGCAAGUUAAGAAAGGCUGUAGACUAGGAAAAUGACUAUUCCACUAAGAAGUUUUGAAGUGGAACAGAGACACUGCUUUUUGAGAAAUAUCACCAGGGCUACUCAUCAAGAUGUUUCCAGAUCACAUGCUUUAUAUUGUUGUAUGAAACCUGAGAGAGCAGAACUGGUGAAAUCCAUCAACCAAGAUGAAAAAUUAUUGCAACUUUGAAAACAGAAAUGGCUGUAAAAAUUAAAACUGAUGAGACUCGGAGUUUAAGAAACCCAAGGCCACAAAUCCCCCCAUGAGACAGACUUCCUUGAGGACAAGGACUAUCUUCCAUUUCUGUGUACCAUGUGCCUGUAAUAGUGUUGGAAACAGAGUAGGCACUCAAUAAAUAUUUGUCAAACUA